rnacentral:rRNA from 1 species
GACGAACGCUGGCGGCGUGCCUAAUACAUGCAAGUUGAGCGAUGAAGAUUGGUGCUUGCACCAAUUUGAAGAGCAGCGAACGGGUGAGUAACGCGUGGGGAAUCUGCCUUUGAGCGGGGGACAACAUUUGGAAACGAAUGUUAAUACCGCAUAACAACUUUAAACAUAAGUUUUAAGUUUGAAAGAUGCAAUUGCAUCACUCAAAGAUGAUCCCGCGUUGUAUUAGCUAGUUGGUGAGGUAAAGGCUCACCAAGGCGAUGAUACAUAGCCGACCUGAGAGGGUGAUCGGCCACAUUGGGACUGAGACACGGCCCAAACUCCUACGGGAGGCAGCAGUAGGGAAUCUUCGGCAAUGGACGAAAGUCUGACCGAGCAACGCCGCGUGAGUGAAGAAGGUUUUCGGAUCGUAAAACUCUGUUGGUAGAGAAGAACGUUGGUGAGAGUGGAAAGCUCAUCAAGUGACGGUAACUACCCAGAAAGGGACGGCUAACUACGUG